UACAGAGGUCUCAAGCGUUGUUCGGAUUCAUUGGGCGUAAAGGGCGCGUAGGCGGCUUGGUAAGUCGGGGGUGAAAGUCAGCGGCUCAACCGCUGGACUGCCUUCGAGACUGCCUGGCUUGAGCAUGGUAGAGGCUGGCGGAAUUCCCGGUGUAGCGGUGGAAUGCGUAGAGAUCGGGAAGAACAUCGGUGGCGAAGGCGGCCAGCUGGGCCAUUGCUGACGCUGAUGCGCGACAGCGUGGGGAGCAAACAGG
rnacentral:rRNA from 1 species